rnacentral:rRNA from 1 species
UACGGGGGGGGCAAGCGUUGUUCGGAAUUACUGGGCGUAAAGGGCUCGUAGGCGGCCAACUAAGUCAGACGUGAAAUCCCUCGGCUUAACCGGGGAACUGCGUCUGAUACUGGAUGGCUUGAGUGUGGGAGAGGGAUGCGGAAUUCCAGGUGUAGCGGUGAAAUGCGUAGAUAUCGGGAGGAACACCAGUGGCGAAGGCGACUACCUGGCCUGUUCUUGACGCUGAGGCGCGAAAGCUAGGGGAGCAAACGGG